GAGGAAGAAAGGAAAAGUUUUUAUUCGUGCUUGAUUCUCUUUGCACUGCUGCUGGAGUGGUGGUGGCAUGGAGUAAGAGAUCCCCAGGGAGACAUUCAGGAAUCGAUGAUCAAGGUCAUGUGGACCAGGAGCCCUUCCUUAUCAGGAGAUUCAUCUUGCAGAUUACACCUUGUGUUUCAGAAGAGAGACUGGAUUGCAAGAGUUCAAGUAAAAACAUCUUUAGAUAGAAGAAUUGACUGAAAAAAUGGAAAUACUACACGUCUAGCAGUGCUUUCUUAUAUUAGGAAAAUCUUGAGAGGUUGGGAGAAAAUGGACAAUGGAGUUUCACUAAAGUAUAAUAUUCCAGAAGCAAGCGUAUCUUUUUUUGUCUUUAACUCUGAAGAAGUAGAGUAUAUGAAGCAAAGCGCUUUAUUUUUGGAUGGCUGGUCCUGCUGCAUAAUCUCAGAAAUAUUCUCAAGUCCUCUUCUCUUUCUUCUCUUCCUGACAAACUUCUCCUUGAGCUUCAAAAUUCAGAGCAUAUGUUUACCAUUCCUCAGGAAACCUGUCUUGACUCUCCCAUGUAAAGAACCAGCAUGUGCGUUCCUCUUAAUCUCAAGUCAGCACCCAGAUCUCCGAUUGAAGAUCAGCAGUACGUGUUGUCAUGGCCGAACUUCUCCAUCCUCUUCAUUCUUCUUUCUACUGGAGACAGUUGCAGAGACUGGCUUGCUUGUGAUCCUGGACUCCCUUGACUUCCUGGUGCAGGAGCCCUUGUUCAAAAUCUGUACAUGAAAUACUGGUUAGAGUAUUUGUAGUUCUGGAACCUAUGUGGCCUUGCCCCCUCCCUACCAAAUCCCAGCCUUCUCCACAGAGAAGCAGCGCAUUGAAAUCUUCCUCACAGGGCUCUUAGGAUGUGACAAUAGACUUUUUUUUCCCACACAGUUUAAUUUAGUCUUCACUGAAUCAUGCUAAAAUACACAUCUGUACAUCACUAAAACAUUUUGCAAACUUCCUCCAAAAAAUGAUCCGUAUAUUUUUUUAUCAUUGAAUAUCAUUGAAUGAUAUCAAUGAAUAUCAAAGAUCUCUCCUUAUUUUCAAUGUCACACAUCUAGUUUUCAAGUUAAAGCAAUAAGUAUUUAUUUCUGUAAAAACAUUCACCAGAAUACAGAACAGAAAUAUAAAAUAUAAGAAUGAAUACUUUGAUAUCAAGUGUGGGUGACCUAACUAAAAUCCAUUCCUCUCUCUCGUGGAAGGAGAGGGAAGUAACAGGAACACUCAGUAGGAUGCCACUGGUAUGAUGUUACCUGGUGCAACACAAGACUGUCCAUCGACAAGGGAUAUAUUUGUAUUUAAUAAAAGCAUGAAUGCAUAAAUGAGCUUGAUGAAC
rnacentral:lncRNA from 1 species